CUUGCACAGAUACUCCUGAGACAAAAGUGUUUAUUACAUUGUAGAUGUCCUACAAAUAACCUUGAGAAGACAAUUCAAAGAAGAAAGCAAUGAAUAGGACUGGGCAGCAGGCACAGCCUAUUUUAGCCCUCUCCCUACAAGCUGAAAAGAAUGGAAGACUGAAGUCCUUCAAACAACUCAGCAUCUUAGUGAAGUACAAAGGUUGGAGCCGCUGUCAUUGUCAGCAUGUUGAUCAGUAUUGCUACCGUUUGGUGGACAGGAAAAAUUCAUUGGAAGUGAUAGAUGGGCUUUUAGCGGUUUAGGUUAAGAACAGAAUCAGUUUUAUGUUUGAUCAACCUUUGCGUGCCAUUCCGAAUGUGUAAACCUUACGAUCGUACGUUCUGGCACUUAGAAUCGAUUUUGAAAAGAGGGGGACAGCCAGAAAAAAAAUAACUAAAUUAGCUGAAAAACUUUGACAAAAAGGGUAAUUGUCCAAACUCCAAGAUCCUAUUCGUUAGGUGCCUGGAGGAGGGUAGAUUACAAUUUUACUAAAUAAUUACCAGAUAAUCAUGAUUUAACUAUAUUUCAACAAAAGGGGGCCAGCCUUUGAAUGAAUACUUUCAAUAGUAAGAAUGUUUGUUGGAUAAAAAUGAGCAAGACAAAGUUUAUGAGACAAUACAUUGCCUUAUUUAGAUAAUGUUUUAAUUCAUUACAUACAUGUGUUUAUAACUAAUUUUUUUCAUAUGAUUUAUUUUUUGUAAUUUAAUUAAAGGAGAUGGCAGAAUGGAUAGCCCUGGUCACACUGCUCAGUAGUGCUCCUACACAUAUUUAUACAAUGUUACAUUGAAUUUCUUAAUUUGAAUGUUAAAAAGUAUUAAUAAAUAUGAACUCAUUCCGGACCUCUGUGAAACACAU